rnacentral:rRNA from 1 species
AGUGAACGCUGGCGGUAGGCCUAACACAUGCAAGUCGAACGGCAGCACAGUAAGAGCUUGCUCUUACGGGUGUCGAGUGGCGGACGGGUGAGGAAUACAUCUGAAUCUACUUUUUCGUGGGGGAUAACGUAGGGAAACUUACGCUUAUACCGCAUACGACCUACGGGUGAAAGCAGGGGAUCUUCGGACCUUGCGCGAUUGAAUGAGCCGAUGUCGGAUUAGCUAGUUGGCGGGGUAAAGGCCCACCAAGGCGACGAUCCGUAGCUGGUCUGAGAGGAUGAUCAGCCACACUGGAACGGAGACACGGUCCAGACUCCUACGGGAGGCAGCAGUGGGGAAUAUUGGACAAUGGGAGCAAGCCUGAUCCAGCCAUACCGCGUGGGUGAAGAAGGCAUUCGGGUUGUAAAGCCCUUUUGUUGGGAAAGAAAAGCAGAAGGUUAAUACCCCGCUGUUCUGAAGGUACCCAAAGAAUAAGCACCGGCUAACUUCGUG